AUGCUCCCUCAAAUUACACUCUGGGAAAAUUUGUGCAGGUGCGAGGUUCUUUCCCAGUUGGCAAAGGAGGGAGACAGCAUCAUGUUGGUUAGCCUGGGGCUAAUGUUUUCUUUUUCUUUUCUUCUGGGCGACGACCUGAACCCUGUUGUUGCUGCUCGAGUGUUGGUGGUAUACGUCUUAGUUGUUGCAUGUAUGAUAGUCAUACAGAUAGGUACUGCUCAAAUCCCUGGUGGUGGUGGGUGGGUUGAUGCACUGCAAUGUGUGUAUGUCUAUAUGAGAAGUGCACCAGCUCUGAGUACUGCAAUCUGCAGUGGCAAAGCCCUUUGA
rnacentral:rRNA from 1 species